rnacentral:miRNA from 1 species
AAGAGAUUUUGAAGGGAU